rnacentral:tRNA from 1 species
GAGAGAGACAGGGAUUGCAAGAACUGCUAACUCACUUGCCACUGUGGCUCAACUCCACAGCUCACUCA